GGACAGGGAAGCCUGGCGUGCUGCAGUCCAUGGGGUCGCAAAGAGUCAGACACAACUGAGUGACUGAACAGCACCACCACCCUCUGACAUCCGCAUUCCUAGUUCCUGGGAUUUGGAUUUUGACUAAAUUCCAAUGAUCCAUAGGCUUUCUUAAUUCUUCUGCUUGCAGAAGGCAGACUGUGGGACUUCUCAGCCUUCAUAUCAUAUGAGCCAAUUCUAAUCUCCAUAUAUACACACACACACACACACACACACACACAUUGUAUACAUACAUAUAUACCCUAUUGGUUCUGUUUCUCUAGAGAACCCUGACUAAUUCAAAUGGUAGGUAAACAUUUUAUUCCCUUAAUUUCAACUAUUUUUUUAAAACUCAGAGCACCCUUUUCUCAUGAACUAAUUGAUUCUGUCUAGUAGAUGAAGAAACCAGAGAAAAUAAACAAUAGUGAACAGGGGUCAGCAAGUAGUCUCAUCCUCAAACAACAUCAAGGAACCUGGACCCUGAGCUCAAACCAAAACAUUUAUAUGAGAUCCUGCCGAGAACAUCAGUAUUUUGAAGAAGGACAUUAGGGUGUGUGAGACAAGAAAAAUCACUCAAGAAUGUAGGGAAUAACCCAGGACAGGAAGGGAAGAGGUAAAAUGCUGGGUUAGGUUCUUCCAGCUGUGAUUUCUUAAGGAGCCAGUGGGAUCAGAGGCCAGACAAAUUACCAAUGGGGUAGGCCAAAUCCCAGGAUUCCAAUCUAGGAGAAGACGAUCCAUCUCUGGUCUUAAUUGCCAUUCCCAGCAACAAUUGUGCAAAAAUACAGAUUAUGUCUCAGUGCCCUAGAAUUUCUUCACCAUAAUGACCCUGGAUGAGUUCUGCAUUAAGAAAUCCAAAUUUAUGAAACAGCAAAUUAUUUCUGAAAAAUCUUUCAAUUUAGAGAGCUGCCACAAGAAUAUUCAUGAGUAUACUUGAAAAAUAUGGUUCCAUGUACAAAACUCUGAUUUACUUGUGCCUUUCUAGAGCACACCUCCUACAGCACAAGAAACACUGCAAAAAAGCCCACAAGGCCCAAUCACGGACAGCAGCUGAGAGGCCCAUCUGGGAAAUAACUCCGGAACCCCUUCAGACAAACUUGCCGUGGUGGGGUGACCUGGCCAUCACUGAUUCCCUGCCAACUCAUUUGCAGCCAGUAUUUUUCACAGAUGCUCCCUGAGAUCUCCAGUGUUGUAACCGGAGAGAAGAGACCUGGAAUUUCCAUGGAGAUGGAUGUUGCUGACUAGAGAUGCCCGGGGUUGCCUUGGUGCUCUAGAGGCACCAAAGGAGUUUAUUAGUGAACAUGGGAAAUGUAAGUAACUCGUCUUGGGAGGUUGACAGAG
rnacentral:lncRNA from 1 species